AACGAACGCUGGCGGCAGGCCUAACACAUGCAAGUCGAGCGAAGCCUUCGGGUUUAGCGGCGGACGGGUGAGUAACGCGUGGGAAUAUGCCCUUUGGUACGGAACAGUCCCGGGAAACUGGGUUUAAUACCGUAUGUGGUCCUUCGUAGUGGAUACGGGGGACGAAAGAUUUAUCGCCAAAGGAUUAGCCCGCGUUGGAUUAGGUAGUUGGUGGGUAACGGCCUACCAAGCCGACGAUCCAUAGCUGGUUUGAGAGGAUGAUCAGCCACACUGGGACUGAGACACGGCCCAGACUCCUACGGGAGGCAGCAGCGGGGAAUCUUAGACAAUGGGGGCAACCCUGAUCUAGCCAUGCCGCGUGAGUGAUGAAGGCCUUAGGGUUGUAAAGCUCUUUCAGCUGGGAAGAUAAUGACGGUACCAGCAGAAGAAGCCCCGGCUAACUCCGUG
rnacentral:rRNA from 1 species